rnacentral:sRNA from 1 species
AAAAACAAAAGUAGAAUUCAAAAAAGAAAGA